rnacentral:rRNA from 1 species
GGGCCCGCACAAGCGGUGGAGCAUGUGGUUUAAUUCGAUGAUACGCGAGGAACCUUACCAGGGCUUAAAUGUAGUCUGACAGGCGUGGAAACAUGCUUUUCUUCGGACAGAUUACAAGGUGCUGCAUGGUUGUCGUCAGCUCGUGCCGUGAGGUGUCAGGUUAAGUCCUAUAACGAGCGCAACCCCUGUUGUUAGUUGCCAGCGAGUAAUGUCGGGAACUCUAACAAGACUGCCGGUGCAAACCGUGAGGAAGGUGGGGAUGACGUCAAAUCAUCACGGCCCUUACGUCCUGGGCCACACACGUGCUACAAUGGCCGGUACAGAGAGCAGCCACUUAGCGAUAAGGAGCGAAUCUAUAAAGCCGGUCACAGUUCGGAUUGGAGUCUGCAACUCGACUCUAUGAAGCUGGAAUCGCUAGUAAUCGGAUAUCAGCCAUGAUCCGGUGAAUACGUUCCCGGGCCUU